rnacentral:rRNA from 1 species
UAUAAAUUCAGCUUUUUGUGAAAUUGCGAACGGCUCAUUAGAGCAGCUAUUAUUCUCUUCGGUAUUCCUAUGGAUAANUGCGGCAAUUCUGGAGCUAAUACACGUGUCAAAUCCCCGACUCACGAAGGGGUGCGGUUAUUAGAACAGACCAAUCGUCUUCGGACGUGGCUGUUGACUCUGAAUAACGUAGCAUAUCGCCGGUUUACCCGGCGACGACCGAAAGAAGUGUCUGCCCUAUCAACCAGAUGGUAGCCUAUUAGACUACCAUGGUUAUAACGGGUAACGGAGAAUCAGGGUUCGACUCCGGAGAGGGAGCCUUAGAAACGGCUACCACAUCCAAGGAAGGCAGCAGGCGCGUAACUUAUCCACUACUUUUGUGAGAUAGGGACGAAAAAUAAAAAGGCCAAUCCUUUGGAUUGGUUAUUUCAAUGAUUUGAGCCCAAAUAGCUCUUUAAUGACCCAGUGGAGGGCAAGUCUGGUGCCAG